CAAGCUUACCUGGGCCUCACACCAAGCUCUGUACUCUUCCAAGUGAGGAAAGGUAGUUCAGAAUGUCUCAGAAUGAAAUAAUUGAACCAAACUCCACAGCAGACAGGAGCAUAACUUUUCUGAUUCUCCAGCCAAAGUAUGAUUCCUGCAAGAGAUCUUGCUGGUCAACUAGGAGGCCCAUGACAUCACGGGAUAAACAGAGUUCAUCUUCCUUUGUGGCCAGUUUUACUUGAAUUCCGUGGAGGCAAAUCAAUUCCUUAUUUUCAUAUUAAAACACACAUGUGUAAUCAAAAAUAAAACAUAAAAUUCACAGAAAUUUUUUGAUUAAAUCAUGAAAGCUCCAAAAUAUUUUCUUGCCUGUGGCCAGUUGCUUUAGACUCUCUGGAAUACAGCUUAUGCCUCUCUGCACUUAAGAGCAGUGUAAACGUAGCAUUGAGAAUCAGA
rnacentral:lncRNA from 10 species